AGUGAACGCUGGCGGUAGGCCUAACACAUGCAAGUCGAACGGCAGCACAGUAAGAGCUUGCUCUUACGGGUGGCGAGUGGCGGACGGGUGAGGAAUACAUCGGAAUCUACUUUUUCGUGGGGGAUAACGUAGGGAAACUUACGCUAAUACCGCAUACGACCUACGGGUGAAAGCAGGGGAUCUUCGGACCUUGCGCGAUUGAAUGAGCCGAUGUCGGAUUAGCUAGUUGGCGGGGUAAAGGCCCACCAAGGCGACGAUCCGUAGCUGGUAGGAGAGGAUGAUCAGCCACACUGGAACUGAGACACGGUCCAGACUCCUACGGGGGGCAGCAGUGGGGAAUAUUGGACAAUGGGCGCAAGCCUGAUCCAGCCAUACCGCGUGGGUGAAGAAGGCCUUCGGGUUGUAAAGCCCUUUUGUUGGGAAAGAAAAGCAGCAGGUUAAUACCCCGCUGUUCUGACGGUACCCAAAGAAUAAGCACCGGCUAACUUCGUG
rnacentral:rRNA from 1 species